rnacentral:lncRNA from 1 species
UGAGUGGAGUCCCUCUUAUCGUUAACGGAUGCAUGUUCUAAUGCCAACCCGUUUAUUUCCCAUUAAAAAUGAUCAGUGUCCCCACAGUUCCCAACAGCCUACUCCUUUGAGUCAUGAGGAAGCAGAGGGCUUCUGAAAAGGUUGGCUUUAUUUCUAUCUCCACUGGGUUGUGCCCAGAAAUUGCCAAAUGUAGUUUUCAAGUGGCAAAUUUUUUUUAAUGGCACAAUCAAAACAUCAUUAUGCUCAUUAAACUUUUUAAAUAUUUUUUUUAAGAUUACCAUUCUCGAUUGAAACUCAUUUCAAAGAAUUUUAAGAGGUCAGCUAGGGUUCAACUAAGGACUCUUAUUUGAUGCGAUUGCUGUAGAUGGGAUAAAGGCUACCUAGUUUAAUGCUUUAAGACAGAGUACUGAGAAAGAAAAAUUUUAACUAUCUCAAGGCAUUCUAUAAAUUAGAAAGCUCAGCAUCAACGUAAAGUAGUGUUAUUUUAAUUGACUCUGAGGAAUUAAAUGUUUAACAACUGUCUAAAGGUCCUUGGUCUUCAGGUUGAGUGAAAUCUCCAAAACGGUGAUCACCAAAUUACAAAACAAAGCCCACUCCCAUAGUAGAAGCCCAGUACUAAUCUCUCUGCCUAAAUUUAUUUCCUCCAAAGGCAAAUAAUCUCCCAUGGGCUCCAUCUUUGUUUCCUAUUUAAUUAAAACAACACUAAUCACCAACGAAUCUAGCUCACUUUUAACAAACUAUUGUAUUCUAACAAGUCUGGCUUUGUUUAUUUGUUUUUCCUUCUCCUGGGAGGAAAAAAGAAUGAAAAAAGGUAGGUAGUGGUUUGAGGUCAGCAAGGAGAUUUAUGUAAGAAAACUCAACUACCAGGGGAGUCAACUCCAUUUAGCCCAUAAAGCAUUUCUCCCUGAAAGCUCAGGAAGGAUUUCCAAUUAUUUACAAACAGAUAACAUUGUGUAGCUCCCUCAGUAUUAUAGAUAAGUCACCAGAAAACAACUAGUUUGACACAGGUGCCCAGCAGCCCAUUAACUGUACAGCUCUGCUAAAUAUCCACCAGGGGCAUCCCCCUGCAGAAUUUGCUACGGAAACAGAGAUGGAAUGAGUUUUCCACCAGAACUCUAGAAAUCAUGAAAGAACUAGCAGGAAAUGGCUUGUGCCAUUGACGUACCUGUUGUAGCAGCUGCAGUGGUGGUUGUCAUGUUUGCGUAUAUGUGUUGGGGGGGAUGUUGUGUGUGUGUCUGUGUUUGAGGGGGAAGGAGAGAAAAAGAGAAUAAAUGGAUGGUAAACAUUCUGGAAAUGUUCAGGAUCUCCUAAGUGUGAAUGAAGGUUUUAUUACAGUCUGUCCAGGGAUAGCUCAGCUUAGUGAUCACUUGAGAAAGGCCUUUCUUCUGGCUCAGUUUUUAGGAGUGAAAGUUAUUUGCUUCAUCUUAAUGUAGAUAAAUUCCUAUUGUACUUCGGUACAAUUGGAAAGGAAUUCAGCCAUGCUAAGCCUGAGACUUUGAGACAAAAUAAAUGACUCUUGUUUAGUGGUGCAUAUUUAAAAUCCUAGCAAGCAGCAUUUUUGAAAGGUUAUCUUUUCUUUUCUACUCUCCUAAGACGCCUUCUUUACAGACACUGAGAGAGGUCCAGGUCACUUCUAUGCUUGGGAGUAGGGUGGGGGCUGGGGGGAAGUGCCAAAAUAAAAAUUAUAAAAGCUUAUACAGUUUAAAUAUUUGCAUUUAAGAUAUUCUCACGAUCAAUGCAGAAAAUUCUAUUCGAUAAAAGUGUGCCAUUCAAAACAUAGAGGAUUUAUUUUAAAAUUUAAAUUAUAUCCCCCAUAAGGAUUAUAAUCUGGUAAUGCAACAAAAGUUUAAAAUUAUUUGAUGAGCAUCAUCUUCUACCAAUCCUGUUGGUUCAUCUCCGUAAUUAAAUAUAUAAAUAGCUUUAUUUGGAGAUAACAUCAGAAAUCUAAAUUUGAAGCAGUCAUUGAAUGGGAGGCCUUGACCACAAGACUUUGCCCCUUUCACUCUCCUGAUGGGCUGUCACCUUAACUUCAUUUCUACCUGUUGAUAAUGUUAAGUAAGGUCUGGGAGUGGGAAGUGAUUUGAAGAAAUAAAUGAUUCUUCCCACCAGUUUGCAAAAGCAAGUCCAUGCAUGGACUGUCACCUGCUUCAGAAACAUCUGGGCUUUCCACUAAAAUUUAGACUCAGGGUCCCCGCUUUGGACCUUCUGAGUCAGCAUCUUUGGGGUGGUUCUUAGGAAUUUGCAUUUAUUACAAUGCCUAGGUGAUUGGGGGCAGAGUAUAGAAAUGUCUGAGAACCACUAAGCUAUGGGGUUGGAAUUGAAUGCAAUGAGGCCUGAUUUUAAAUGUGACUAAAGUUGCCACCCAGAAACACUACUCUGCUCACAUUCCAGUUGGAGAUGAAGACCUUACGGUGGCCAUGGUUUUAUUGCUUACCUAUCAUGGGGCCAAUGAAAUCACUUCAGUGGACUGGGAACCAUUGGGACUGUUUUGAGCUGAGCAGUCUUAAAAUCCAAAUUAUUUUACCCACCUAGUUCUUUUCUUGUGGUAAAACACAAGAAGAAAGCACUCUGAGCCCAAGGAGCUCCUGAAGUAUUCUUACCAGUGUGGUCUUGCAGAUACCUCUAUGAAGAUUCCAGAGAACUGUGAAAAAUGCCUUAUACUGCCACGCCUCACCCAUUACCCUGGGGCAAGCAUUCACCAAGGAGGAAGAGGGGUUGGCAGGGUAGUACUAAAUCAACCAGAGUGGCCCCAUCCUAUACCCUCUCCCUCCCACUCAACUCAGAGAAUUUCUAGUCUAAAAUCCUUCUCUGGGACUGAGAUGGAAGCUCGGGUUCACGGCCAAUAAGAAUAUAUUGUCCCUGUGAACCUGAGUGUGGGUCAGCCCUGCCCCCCUAUUCUUAUUUUCACUCUGUAGUAUCCUUGAAUGGUGAACAAAUAUGUUCAAGGGGCAGAAAAAAAAUGCCUGAACCCUCCCAUGGAAAAGAACCUGGAAAGAUUCUAAAGAACAGAAGUGCACUAGCACUGAGGACUGUUUAUAAGGAGGUGAGUCCUUGCCUGGCACUGCAGCCCACACUGUUCCUUUAACAUAACCAGAGGACAGGGUGCUCGGGCUGGCCACAAACAACUCCAGUGAGCUCUAAAGUGGUUGUAUGGGCUUGGAAGCAUCUCAGCUAGAUUGUAUCCCUGACUGAGAAAAAGGGAGUGAAGUCUAUAGAUAAACUAGAAAUUGGUACAGUGUGUUAGUUGUUACUCUUAUCCUUAACAGCAAUCAGCAAAUUACUAGGUGAUGUCAUUCGCUAAUUAAUCAUCUCUUUUGAUGGAGAAGCUCUUAGCAUGUCAAAACAAAGCUUUUUCUAACCCAGAAAAGUUACACAUUGUUCUGUUUUGAUGCCAAAGUUUACAUUUUAUAUUAUAACGAAGAUUUGGGGCACUGCCGAGAAGUUAUUGAAUUCAUCCUUUUUCCUUCCUCCUGUGGAAUCCUUCAAAAUCCAGUACAGAUGUCACCUUGAUAGUCUUCUGAUGGCUCUCUCUCUCUCUCUGGCAAAAGUUAACAGCUUAUUCCUCUGCCCUUUGGAAAUUUGUAAUUUGUACCUCCUUUUAGCAUUUCUGUCUUGCUGCUGCCUUAUGUGAUAGCUAUUUCAUGUCUCCUCACUAGACAAUGGCCUUCUAGGGAGCAGAGGCCAUGCCAUCUGUGCUUUCCCUAAAGCUUCUAUAUGGUUCACAGAUAGCAAGUGCUCAUGAAACAUCCACUAAAUUCAAGUCUAUAAUCCUACAUCAGAAGUCACAAACUGGAAGGUCACAGGCCAGAAAUAUCUUUAAAAAUUUUGACAUCAUGGCCUCUUGGCAGAUUUCAGAUAAAAAUCUGGGAUGUCUGGUGUUUUCCAUGGCCAUAAGCAGCUUGAACAAAGUGGCAGCUGCCACUUUAGAGGGGGUAUUCUUCCUCUGGUGUUCCACAGUUGCAUUUCGAUCAUUUAUGUUACCUGCCUGUCCUCCUCGGACUCUCUUCUCUCGAAGACACCAUUUCUUCACCCUUUUCUUCGACAUUAGUCAAAAUGAAAUGCCUUCAUUCAUGGAGGCAUGACUGUGGCUUCUGAUGGAGGCAAUUCAGAACCAAAGAUUAUGUUUGCUAGGAUCAAUCACUUAUAUGCUCACCACCAUGUAAUCACUUGGUUUGCUGUGCUCCAUGAUCUAAUUUAGUUCUUAAGGUGGCAGAAUGUGAUCUGAUCAUAUAGUGGUUAAUUCUUUAAGGCUUAGUGGCUUUAACUCUAAGCAAACUUCAACCUGAAGCCAGUAGAGAUAAAAUUAAUAUAAACAUUAACACCCACUUCUCAUUGGUCUGAGUUUCCACCUGCAUGAUGCUUUUACAGAGUCUCUCCUUAAUUGUUUCUAGAAAUUCACCCAGGGGCACAUAAUCAAAAGUUUUCUCCACUUGAGAUAUCUAUUUUCCCAUGUCCCACUUUUUCCCUGACCUGCUUCCAGGUGGUCCCUGAUCCCAUGGUACUAGAGGACAAUUCUGAUAAUCUGUCCAGGUCACCAUAUGCAAUGGAUAUUUUUGAGUGUGCUCUUCAUAUCCCAUUUCUUGGCAAUCUGUGCUCUUUUGACCAGGCUGCCUUCUUCUUGAAGUUCUCUCAUUCUUAGGUCACUGUGAUACCCCACGCUUCAUAUAUUCCUGCAGUCUCUCUGUCUUUUCUUUGUCCAAAGCCUUCCUUUACAUAUUUCUCUCUACUUGAUGAUUAAUAUUUGAGUUCUUCGUAGCUGAUUCCUGGUCCUCUUUUCUUCUUCUUCUGUUCAUUCUUCCUAAGACAUACACUCAUGUCCUCUACUUUAACUACUAUUCAUACACCAGUGAUAUCAAAAUAUAUAUGUAUGGCCCCUAUUAUUUUCUUUGGGUUCCAGAUCAUGUAAGCCAUUGUAUACAUGACAUCUUUACUUGGCUGUCUUAGGGGCAUCUCAAAUUUAAUUUACACAAAACACAUUCGUAUCUCCCUCCCAAAUGGAUCCUCUUUCAGGGUUAUCUAGCUGGUAAAUAUUACAGCCAUUCAGUUAAGGACGUGAGAAAACUGGACAUCACCUGCCUCACCCACCUCCCCACCAAAUAAUGACCAUCACCAAGCCUGGAUAUUCUGCCUACCAAGUGCCUUGAAUUUGUUCACCUAUUUCCAUCUAUGUCAUCCAGCUGGUCUCAGCUACCAUUAUUUAUUAUCUGGACAACUUAGAUGCUUUAUUAUGGUUUCUUCCAGUUCAUUCCUAUGUAGGGCCAGAGGAAUCCUGAAGAAAAUGUGAACAUGCUUAAAUAACCCUUUUAGGAGUUCCCUUCAUGGCGCAGUGGUUAACGAAUCUGACUAGGAACCAUGGGGUUCGAUCCCUGGCCUUGCUCAGUGGGUUAAGGAUCCGGCGUUGCCAUGAGCUGUGGUGUGGGUCACAGACGUGGCUCGGAUCUUGCGUUGCUGUGGCUCUGGCGUAGGCCGGCGACUACAGCUCCGAUUUGACCCCUAGCCUGGGAACCUCCAUAUGCCGCAGGAGCGGCUCAAGAAAAG